GUGGGGAAUCUUCCGCAAUGGGCGAAAGCCUGACGGAGCAAUGCCGCGUGAACGAAGAAGGUCUUCGGAUUGUAAAGUUCUGUCCUUAUCGAAGAGAGACAUAUAGAGUAACUGCUAUAUGUAGGACGGUAGAUGAGGAGGAAGCCCCGGCUAACUACGUGCCAGCAGCCGCGGUAAUACGUAGGGGGCAAGCGUUGUCCGGAAUCACUGGGCGUAAAGGGCGCGUAGGCGGCAAUAUAAGUCAGAUGUGAAAGGUGAGGGCUCAACCCUUAGACUGCAUCUGAUACUGUAUAGCUUGAGUGUGAGAGAGGAAAGUGGAAUUCCUAGUGUAGCGGUGAAAUGCGUAGAUAUUAGGAGGAACACCAGUGGCGAAGGCGACUUUCUGGCUCAUAACUGACGCUGAGGCGCGAAAGCGUGGGGAGCAAACAGGAUUAGAAACCCUUGUAGUCC
rnacentral:rRNA from 1 species